rnacentral:rRNA from 1 species
GAUGAACGCUGGCGGCGUGCCUAAUACAUGCAAGUCGAGCGAACGGACGAGAAGCUUGCUUCUCUGAUGUUAGCGGCGGACGGGUGAGUAACACGUGGAUAACCUACCUAUAAGACUGGGAUAACUUCGGGAAACCGGAGCUAAUACCGGAUAAUAUUAUGAACCGCAUGGUUCAAAAGUGAAAGACGGUCUUGCUGUCACUUAUAGAUGGAUCCGCGCUGCAUUAGCUAGUUGGUAAGGUAACGGCUUACCAAGGCAACGAUGCAUAGCCGACCUGAGAGGGUGAUCGGCCACACUGGAACUGAGACACGGUCCAGACUCCUACGGGAGGCAGCAGUAGGGAAUCUUCCGCAAUGGGCGAAGGCCUGACGGAGCAACGCCGCGUGAGUGAUGAAGGUCUUCGGAUCGUAAAACUCUGUUAUUAGGGAAGAACAUAUGUGUAAGUAACUGUGCACAUCUUGACGGUACCUAAUCAGAAAGCCACGGCUAACUACGUG